rnacentral:rRNA from 1 species
UUUGAACGCACAUUGUGCCCCCCGGCAUUCCGGGGGGCAUGCCCGUUCGAGCGUCAUUGAACCCCCUCAAGCCUCUGGCUUGGUGUUGGGCCGCGUCCUCCCCCCGUGCUUUCGGGGGGGGGACGGGCCCGAAGACGAGUGGCGGUCCCGGGACAACCCCCGGGCGAUGGCACAUCUUUCCCGUGGGGCCCUCCCCUGGGCGCCUGCCAGCGAACCCCCUCCCCAGGGAACGCACACGGUUGACCUCGGAUCGGGUAGGGAUACCCGCUGAACUUAAGCAUAUCAAUAAGCGGAGGACAAGAAACCAACCGGGAUUGCCCCAGUAACGGCGAGUGAAGCGGCAGCAGCUCAAAUUUGAAAUCCGGCCUUCGUUCGGGGGCCCGAGUUGUAAUUUGGAGAGGGCGCUUCGGGGGCGUGUCGCCGGCCCAAGUGCCUUGGAACAGGACGCCUGGGAGGGUGCGAGCCCCGUACGCGGCCGGUGGCCGACCCCGCCCGAAGCCCCUUCGACGAGUCGAGUUGUUUGGGAAUGCAGCUCCAAGCGGGUGGUAAAUUCCAUCUAAAGCUAAAUACCGGCCGGAGACCGAUAGCGCACAAGUAGAGUGAUCGAAAGAUGAAAAGCACUUUGGAAAGAGAGUCAAACAGCACGUGAAAUUGUUGAGAGGGAAGCGCUUGCCCCCAGACCUGCCCGCGGGCGAUCACCCGCGGACCGCCCCCGGUCCGCGGGGCACGCGCCCGCGUCCAGGCCAGCACGGGUUCGGGCGGCGGGAGAAAGCGCCCGGGAACGUAGCUCCCUCCGGGGAACCUUAUAGCCCGGACGGCCAUGCCGCCCGCCCGGACCGAGGACCGCGCUUCGGCUAGGGUGCUGGCGUAAUGGGGGUCAGCGGCCCGUCUUGAAACACGGACCAAGGAGUCUAACGUCCCCGCGAGUGUUCGGGCGUCAAACCCCCGGCGCGGAAUGAAAGUGAACGGAGGUGGGAGCCCCCGGGGACCCGGGGGCGCACCAUCGACCGAUCCUGAUGUCUUCGGAUGGAUUUGAGUGGGAGCGCGGCCGUUGGGACCCGAAAGAUGGUGAACUAUGCCUGGGUAGGGUGAAGCCAGAGGAAACUCUGGUGGAGGCUCGCAGCGGUUCUGACGUGCAAAUCGAUCGUCGAACCUGGGCAUAGGGGCGAAAGACUAAUCGAACCAUCUAGUAGCUGGUUCCUGUCGAAGUUUCCCUCAGGAU